UGCCAGAUAAUUGUUUACGAACUUAGCACGUGCGGUGGUGGGUUGAAGCUGACAAUUUUUACAGUGCGCUUCGGGCAGCACGGCAGGUCAAAACUGGGUCAAAAUCGAGCGAAUAAAGAAGGGUUUUGACAGCAGUUAGUGCACUUCCAGGUCAAAACGAGGUGAGCUGGUGAAAUAAAGGAAUUUGCUAUAAGCCAGUGGGGCUGGUUACUGCAGAGUCUAUGUUUAUAAUAAGAGUCCCGCAAAGAUGAAACCAAAGGAACCAAAUCAGUGUCAAACGAGGGUACCAAUCGCGCAAUGUAAAUAAACAAGGUGAUAAUGUAAGGAGUGGAUGAAAAGUGUCGUAAUUGAGCGUAAUAAAGAAUAUGUGUUUUUCCGAAGUUUUACUUACGCAUUUUAAUCCAACAUUAAACCUGUACACUGGUUCACUUGAAUUUAACAAAACAUCAUCGGUGUAAUCUUUCAAAACUGUGUACCUUGUGAAGAAUUUAAAAAAAUGAUAUUCGCUUAUGCAUGAUGAAAAACAGAACUGUAUAGUUCUUGGCAACAAACGGCACAAAAACUGUGUUGCCGAAACGAUAGAUUUUCUCUUCGCGCGACUCUAUAUACACAUAGACUCUGGGUUACUGUAGGAGCCCGAUAAAAAAUUUUGACAGAUAGUAUUAUACGCAUGUAUCAACUAAAUCGGGUGUUUGUGCAAUAAGGCAAUCCACGGGUGACGUUUCAAUGCUUGUACGUUUGUUAUUGUUGCUGUUUUUCAAGCUGCAAAACCAAAACACGACCAAAACCAAAUCUUUUAAUGUCGGCAAUAAUAUCAAAAGUGAUUUGUUAUUGUUGUAUUUAGGAUUGGCACCCGCAAUACUAGAGCCACCGAUCGGAUAACAUUUGUUUUUCACGCUUUUGGAUCCGGGUUGCAUCCGAGUUGCGACCGAUCGAACAUACGUAAAGCUGUCAUAAGUUGAAAACAGACCGAAAUCAUCUGAUCACAACUGUCUCGUGGAUUGCCUUAUCGGCAUAUUGAUUAGUCAAUUUCGUCAAACCACGUAUGUUGACUAUUUUUGUCACCUGAUUUCUUUGAUAAUUAAUUCAGUUCUCGUAAGAUGUGAAUUUAAUCUGUUAUAAGAUCGCUUUAUUAUAUAAAGUAAAAUCGGAUGAUAAAUUUAUGCUGAUUAGUAAGCAAACGAAAUAGGAUUUCGUAGUAUUUUUCAAAAUGGUUCCGGGAGUAGAAGCAGCAUAAGAUUUUUCGUCGGAUAAUUCUAUAUAUUUCAGACAAAUUUUCUGUUGCAUUUCUACAUUCCGAAAAAGAUUUAUUUUGUCUUUCAUCUCAAAUGCUUGGAACAGAAACCGUUCAUCGACAGGGCACUGAAAAGUUACCGGGAUCGGAGCCGAUUCAAAGCCCUCAUUCAACUCCCCGGCUGUACGAGCAACAGCUGAAGCUCAACCGGCUGGUUCGAUAACUCUAAUAGGAGGAUUACCCGGUCCAGAGGUGCUACUGAAGGUAUGGAUCGGCUGUGAUGUAAGUCAAAAUAUAAGGUCAAAUUAAAACUUAACUUCCAAAUUACUUGUUUGUUUUUCAACUCUAUACAUGGAUUAAUCAGCCUAUUUAGUAUGCUUGAAUUAAAAUAAUCGCUCUACUAAUCUGCAUAUUUAGUCUGAUUCAAUUGGAUUUAGAAUAUGAUCCACCGAUUUCUCAACCUAUUUCGUAUGGUUCAGGCAAUUUCAUCACCAGACUAAUCUACCUGUUUCGUCUGAUUUCGUAUAUGGGCUCGAACGAAAUCACCCUUAAAUCACUCGAUUUGGUUGGUUUUUGUCGACCGAUUUCGUAUACUGAUCAAUCGGUAAACCCCCUGUUAAACUCCCAUAAGAACUGUUGCAACAAUCAGUUGAUUCGUCGGAAUCGAAAUCGGGCAAUUGUGCCUACGAGAAUGUACUAAAUAUGGGGAAAAAUAGGAGGGUCUU